AAUAUCCGUUCGAUCUUACAGAUCGGAUUAUCCUUUUUAAGCCAGCUUGAUUUGAAGAUUAUUUCCACUAUGUUACGGCUUGAAUCUUCCGGACCCAACUCUGACACAGCAUGUUUAACUGCUUGAUGAUGUUCUAAGCUCUCAAUUUUUGGAAAAACUUCUCCACAAUCUGGACAUGCACAAAUUGUUGACCUUGGUAAAGGGUACCUGCUAGGAUCUACUAUCAUGUGACACUCAUAACAUCCAGAUAGCUUACGAAAUUGCAUUCCUCUUGAUGAAGUAGUGUAUGUGGAGCUACCAUUACCGUUUGAUCUAGCAAGAGAUCUCGAACUUGAAGAUGAAGGAUCAUGAUGUGAAGUUUUAUUCUUGCUUAGAAGACGAGUUUCUUGGCCUAAACUGCUACUUUCUGGGGAAUUAUCAGCUCUAUGUACCACUCUUGUGUUGCCAUGUACCACAUCCCUGAAACUGCAUAUGGAGCUACAAGAACUCAACUUAGAGUAAGCUCCAGCAGGAGCAGCAGCAGCAGAAGAAGGAGGAG
rnacentral:misc_RNA from 1 species